rnacentral:rRNA from 1 species
GCAAGUCUGGUGCCAGCAGCCGCGGUAAUUCCAGCUCCAAUAGCGUAUAUUAAAGUUGUUGCAGUUAAAAGCUCGUAGUUGAAUUUCGGGAUCAAUAUUUCGGUCAUGCCGUUGGUAUGCACUGUUAUCAUUGAUUUCUCACCUUCUAAAGAACCAUAAUGCCAUUAAUUUGGUGUUACGGGGAAUUAGGACUGUUACCUUGAAAAAAUUAGAGUGUUUAAAGCAGGCUCACGCUUGAAUACAUUAGCAUGGAAUAAUGAAAUAGGACAUCCGAUUCUAUUUUGUUGGUUUCUAGAAUCGAUGUAAUGAUUAAUAGGGAUAGUUGGGGGCAUUAGUAUUCAAUUGUCAGAGGUGAAAUUCUUGGAUUUAUUGAAGACUAACUACUGCGAAAGCAUUUGCCAAGGAUGUUUUCAUUAAUCAAGAACGAAAGUUAGGGGAUCGAAGACGAUCAGAUACCGUCGUAGUCUUAACCAUAAACUAUGCCGACUAGGGAUCGGAUGAUGUUAAUUUUUUAAUGACUCAUUCGGCGCCUUACGGGAAAC